UUUAGAUUUAACAAUGUGGUAGUGGAUGAGAUGGGAGACAUGCUCUAAGUGUUCAAAAUGAAAAACACCAGAACACAACCGUUAUUUUAUGAAAGAGGCUGGAAAAUGCAAGUGAUAUCUAAGCAGAGUUCUGUGCUCUGACAGUUUCAGUAAUCCCCAAAGAGAGAGGAGCACACCACAGGAACAAGAACAGUAUCUCCAGGUCUACACUUGCCUUUGGUAAAGAGUUUUAAAAUAAAUUUCAAGCCAAUCCGUAGUGAUGGGAGAUCCACUGAAGUCAUCUCAUGAUGUGUGUUGUCGGGCUAUUUAAAGGCUGCUGUUUCACUUCCAAACUUCACUCCCUUCUGACGUCUUCAGUGCUGUUCACUUGGCAACCUUGGCUACUCUUCAGCAGAUAAUUUGUACUCUACAUAAGCAUUUAGAAGAACCCAGAGUUAAACCAAGGAUAAGAGUCAUCGGUAACAUUUAUAGUUACUGAACUCCUCACUAUGUGUCACAAAGUGGGUCAGAGGGUGCAUCUUUCAGGAGAAAAAGAACAUUCUUUUAGUGCUAUUUCUACUUCCACAUUGAUACGACAAUGAUUCCUACAGCUAAAUUAAGGUUUGACCUCAUGUGUCAAAUGAUUUUUGUUUAGUCAAUAGAUUUUUUUCUAAAUGUUAUCCUCUCCAAAAAAAUCAGAAAUUUAGCAUUUAAGUUAUGCAUGAUCACAAGUACAUAUAUAUAUACACACACAUAUAUAUAUGCAAGAACAGCCUUUUCUUGACAAUAAUUCAAUGCGAGAAAAAUUUAGAUAAAUGUAUUGAAUGUACAAAAGUGUAAUAAAACCCCCUUUAGUUUAAUAGAUAAAAGAGCAUUGUGGGGAGUUUUUUCUUUGCAGGGUUGGAGUAUGUGCUCUGCUCAUGGAAACCAGCUGUCAUGCCACUUCCCAGCACUCGGAGGGAACAGAAACUUGUUUCUUCUCUACUGUUAAAGCAAAAGGGUGUGCCCAAGGCAAAGAUUAGAGUGGCUGUGGAUCUGCAGGUGGUUUUACGUAUUUGCGGUGAGGUCAAAGAAACAUCUUUUUUUGCACUUCUUCUUUUCUCCAAAUUGGGCAUUGCCUGAAAUGGACGCAUUCAGCAGCACUGUGGGAUGAGAUAUGUACAAGGCAUCAUUUCCCUCUAAGGCAAAUACCUUCACUGCUGGCAAACCUUCAGAAUUUGCAAGCUCAGCCAGCACCUUUGACCCGGCCACACAGCUGACAGCACAGUUGGCAGUUGGUAGCUUCCAUUUAUCCUAGGUCAGCUCCCGAGGCAUCGGCAUAAAAUGAAAUAAAGAUUUGAGCAGUCACUUCAGAAAUGAAAAUGGGAAUGCCCAAUAGUUUGCUUCAGUUUGCUCAGGCUGAGAACCAUUUAUUAAGCUGGUAAAAUGGGAAAGUCAUACAUGAGAGUACCUGCUCAGGAGAAAGAAAUAGAUUGAUCAGACACAUUAUCUAAAGAUCCAGAAGAGAAAUCCACUGAUUUCUAACAGUCAACCCACUGAUGGCUUGAGAUGUAGUUGAGACUACCACACAUUUCAGUAGGCAGAUAUUGUCACCUUCAUAUCCUCAGUGCCUAGCACUGUGCCUGGUAGUUUGUGCUUAGUCAGUGAAUGUUUGCGCAAUUAAUGAGUAAAGCCCAUAUGUGUAUAUGUUUAUAAUAAUUAUUUUUUCUAGUUCAUGUAACUAACGAAUGAAAUUCCCAAGUCAUUGUUCUAUGAGGAACAGGAUGAGAAAUAAGGAACUAAUAUUUUUCUUCCUACUGUAUGCUAGACAUACCAAAUUUGCAUAGUGAGAAAUGGUCAAAACAAGAUUGAAAGGUAGGUAUGUUUCAUGCUAAAGUCCA
rnacentral:lncRNA from 10 species